GACGAACGCUGGCGGCGUGCCUAAUACAUGCAAGUUGAGCGCUGAAGGUUGGUACUUGUACCAACUGGAUGAGCAGCGAACGGGUGAGUAACGCGUGGGGAAUCUGCCUUUGAGCGGGGGACAACAUUUGGAAACGAAUGCUAAUACCGCAUAAAAACUUUAAACACAAGUUUUAAGUUUGAAAGAUGCAAUUGCAUCACUCAAAGAUGAUCCCGCGUUGUAUUAGCUAGUUGGUGAGGUAAAGGCUCACCAAGGCGAUGAUACAUAGCCGACCUGAGAGGGUGAUCGGCCACAUUGGGACUGAGACACGGCCCAAACUCCUACGAGAGGCAGCAGUAGGGAAUCUUCGGCAAUGGACGAAAGUCUGACCGAGCAACGCCGCGUGAGUGAAGAAGGUUUUCGGAUCGUAAAACUCUGUUAGUAGAGAAGAACGUUGGUGAGAGUGGAAAGCUCAUCAAGUGACGGUAACUACCCAGAAAGGGACGGCUAACUACGUG
rnacentral:rRNA from 1 species